rnacentral:lncRNA from 1 species
GUUCUGUCUGACAGUACCUGGUUCAUAGACUCUGAGGCCUUCUACAUAUGUGGUGGGAAUCAAAAGCAGAGAGACGAAGCUGCUGCAGAGAAGGAGCAGAGUGAAAGAGCAAGCCCCUUAUAGGGGUGGAUAUCGCAGAAGAGAUGAAUCCCAUGAGCCUGGGGACUGGCAUGUCCCUGUAAAGGCAGUUUCCCCACUGUUGUCGGGGAAAGAGGCCUGGCAUUCUCCCCUACCUGUGACUUUGAUCUUAUGACACUUGGUAUCAAUUAUCUCAAUUUGGUGCCCAAUCAAAUAAGUUGUAAUAUCUCUUCACUCUUUCACAAGUGGAUCCCUUGACCACAUGGAAACUCUGGGAGAGUGGGACUAUACAUUGUCUUUCCUUUUGUAUUUCACUCAAUUUCAAAAAGCUCAGAGGAUCUAGAGUCUGGAAAGGGCAGGGGUAAUGGAUGGAUAGGGAGAGAUUUUAAAGGAUGCAAAAUUACAGCUAGAUAGAAGUAAGUUCUAGCAUUCUAUAGCACUGUAGGAUGACUAUAGUUAACAGUAAUACACUAUAGUUUCAAAUAGCUAGAAGGAGGAUAUUAAAUGUUCCCAGCAUGAAGAAUGAUAAUUGUUUGAGAUGGUAGACAUGCCAAUUACUCUGAUCUGAUCACUUUAGGUAUCAAAACACCACUAUGUACCCCAUAAAUAUGUACAAUUGUUAUGUCAACUAAACAAAUACAAUAAAAAUAGGAAAAUGUUAAAAAGAGUACUAUACCCUUAAUUGAAUACUAAGUUGGUUUGGUUGGUUUGCAGUGUCUACUAAAGCUGAGCUUACAAAUACCCUAUGAUCCAGGAAUCCCAUUCCUAGAAAUAUUCCCCCAAAAUACUUAUUUAUGUUUCAAAUGACAUGGAUAAGAAUGUUUGUAGCAAGACUGGAAACAAUUCCAAUUUCCAUCAACAGUAGAAUGGAUAAAUAAACUGCAGUACAUUCAUCCAAGGGAAUAUACCACACAUCCAUGUAAAUGGACAAAUGACUGCCAAACCAAAACAGGGAGGAAGCUCAAAUACAAUGUGAGCAUGACACACCAGAAAUAAAAGAGAACCUACUGUGUGACUCCAUUUAGGUAAAGUUCAGAAAGAGGAAAAAGUACUCUGUGGUAUUAGAGGCUAAGAUCAUGGUUACCUUAAUUAAACGAGGCAGUGAGGAGGGAGGCAGUGAGUGGAAGAGGAUACAGGGAAGGCCCUGUGUUCUCUUUCUCGGUUGCAUUUCUUUUUUUUUUUUUUUUUUUUUUUUUUUUGAGAUGGAGUCUUUCUCUGUCACCCAGGCUGGAGUACAGUGGUGCAAUCUUGGCUCACUGCAACCUCCGCCUCCCAGGUUCAAGCAAUUCUCCUGCCUUAGCCUCCUGAGUAGCUGGGAUUACAGGUGGCCACCACCAUGCCCAGCUGAUUUUCUUUUGUACUUUUAGUAGAGAUGGGUUUUCACCAUGUUGGCUAGGCUGGUCUCGAACUCCUGACCUCGUGAUCUGCCCACGUUGGCCCCCCAAAGUGCUGGGAUUACAGGCGUGAGCCACCAUGCCCGGCCCUCUCAGUUGCAUUUCUAUAUUGUUUUUGGUUUCUUCAGUGUGUUGACUUUGUGUGUACCUAUUGAACUGUGUAUUUAUUUAUUUGUUUGUUUAUUUUUAAUUUUACUUUUAGAGACAGAGUCUCACUCUGUCACCCAGGCUGGAAUGCAGUGGUGUGAUUACAGCUCACUGCAGCCUCAACUUCCCAGGCUCAAGUGAUCCUCCUGCCUCAGCCUCCCAAGUAGCUGGGACCACAGACACACACCACCACAACUAGAUAACUUUUUAUUUUUUAUAGAGACAGGGUCUCACUAUGUUUCCCAGGCUGGUCUCAAACUCCUGGGCUCAAGUGAUCCACCUGCCUUGACAUUCCAAAGUGCUGGGAUUACAGGUGUGAGCCACCGUGCCCAGCCUUGAACUGUAUAUUUAUGAUGUGUGUACUUUUCUCUAUUUAUAUCUUACAUUUUAAUUUAAAAUGCUGAUGCUAUAAAACAUUGUUAAAUUUUUGUUUUUCUCUAAGAAAGGCCAAUUCUGUUCAACUUUUGGAUACAGAAAAGUGCAAAGUCCUUCUCCAGAUGGCUUUGGGGCUCUCCCUCUCUGGGAGUUAACAUUGGGGUAACACAAACCUGAUUGUGAAAAUCAGCACCAGGGGCUCCUAUCACUGGGGGGCAACUCAGCAAUUCCAGAGCCGUGCGACAGAAACACAUCAGUUUACAAACCUGCCAAGGCCUCUCUCAUUAUUUCACCUUCCCAACGCGAGUCCAGUUGUGUUUUAUUCAUCAGAAAUAUAGAUUUUUAUUGUUUACCCUUCCCUCUCUUUAAAGGCGGUGAUUGUGGUGAUCUGUCACCGAAGUCCAGCCCCCGUCCCUCAGGGGGCUUUCUCCCCCUCCCCCUUUCCAGCACUUGAUCCUCUGCCAGCUGCUCUCCUGUGGGUCUGCAAGAGCCCAACUGUUGGGAGGUAACUCGUGGGGCCAAGGGGAAGGGGCUUUUGUUUCCUGUUGUCCGAGGGGGUGGGUCUGGGUAGAAGGAUGAUGUUAAAUGUGAGGAAAAGUGCAUUAAAAAUGCACAUGGAUUAUCCAUUGAUUUGCUGCUCAGGACCCAAUUUCUCUCUGCACAGAACAAUUUGAUUUAUCCUCUGGUCUCCACGGGUUGUGAGCAGCACACGUGUUCCCUGCCAGAGCGAUCGUGUACGUGUCUGAAGGACAAAGAGGGGCAGGCUGGCUGUCUACCCUGGGGUCCCAGGCCAAGGUAGGGAGGAUCACUAAAAUUGUGGGUGAUUUUAGAAAAAUCGAAGCUACUCUUAACAGCCCAACAACAGUCUCAUCUCAAAUGAGGCAAUUGUCCCAAUUUUCUUUGUUUCAUUUUGCUGAACAAGCCUGUUUUUAUAAACAUCAGGAAGAUUUAGAAAAGAAAAUGAGGGUGGGGAGGGGGAAGAGAUGAAACCAUUGAUUUGAGGGCAAAAGCUCCCCCAUUUG